rnacentral:rRNA from 1 species
UACGAAGGGUGCAAGCGUUACUCGGAAUUACUGGGCGUAAAGCGUGCGUAGGUGGUUUGUUAAGUCGCUGUGAAAUCCCCGGGCUCAACCUGGGAAUGGCAGUGGAUACUGGCAAGCUAGAGUGCGGUAGAGGGUAGUGGAAUUCCCGGUGUAGCGGUGAAAUGCGCAGAUAUCAGGAGGAACACCAUGGCGAAGGCAGCUCGCUGGGACGGUACUGACUCUGAGGCGCGAAAGCGUGGGGAGCGAACCGG